CACGUAGGGUGCGAGCGUUGUCCGGAAUUAUUGGGCGUAAAGAGCUCGUAGGCGGUGUGUCGCGUCGGCCGUGAAAACCUGCAGCUUAACUGUGGGCUUGCGGUCGAUACGGGCAUCACUGGAGUUCGGCAGGGGAGACUGGAAUUCCUGGUGUAGCGGUGAAAUGCGCAGAUAUCAGGAGGAACACCAAUGGCGAAGGCAGCACUCUGGGACGUGACUGACGCUGGAGACGCGAAAAGCGUGGGGAGCAAACAGG
rnacentral:rRNA from 1 species